rnacentral:rRNA from 1 species
AUUGAACGCUAGCGGCAUGCCUAACACAUGCAAGUCGAACGGCAGCACGAGGAGCUUGCUCCUUGGUGGCGAGUGGCGGACGGGUGAGUAACGCGUAGGAAUCUACCUUAUAGUGGGGGAUAACCCGGGGAAACUCGGGCUAAUACCGCAUAAUCUCUACGGAGCAAAGUGGGGGACCUUUUAGGCCUCACGCUAUUAGAUGAGCCUGCGUCGGAUUAGCUAGUUGGUGGGGUAAAGGCCUACCAAGGCGACGAUCCGUAGCUGGUCUGAGAGGACGACCAGCCGCACUGGGACUGAGACACGGCCCAGACUCCUACGGGAGGCAGCAGUGGGGAAUAUUGGACAAUGGGCGCAAGCCUGAUCCAGCGAUGCCGCGUGUGUGAAGAAGGCCCUCGGGUUGUAAAGCACUUUUAGUGGGGAAGAAAAAGUCGGAGAUAAUAUCUCCGAAAAUUGACGUUACCCACAGAAAAAGCACUGGCUAACUCUGUGCCAGCCGCCGCAGUAA